UGGUGGAGCGAUUUGUCUGGUUAAUUCCGAUAACGAACGAGACUCUGGCCUAUUGAAUAGUUCGCCGAUUCCGAUCUGUCGGCGUUAACUUCUUAGAGGGACAAGUGGCUUUUAGCCACGCGAGAUUGAGCAAUAACA
rnacentral:rRNA from 1 species